AUUGAACGCUGGCGGCAGGCCUAACACAUGAAAGUCGAACGAGUGGCGGACGGGUGAGUAAUGUCUGGGAAACUGCCCGAUGGAGGGGGAUAACUACUGGAAACGGUAGCUAAUACCGCAUACCAUCGGAUGUGCCCAGAUGGGCUUAGCUAGUAGGUGGGGUAACGGCUCACCUAGGCGACGAUCCCUAGCUGGUCUGAGAGGAUGACCGGCCCCACGGGAACUGGGACACGGUCCAGGUGCCUACGGAAGGCAGCAGUGGGGAAGUUUGCACAAUGGGCGAAAGCCUGAGGCAGCCAUGCCGCGUGUAUGAAGAAGGCCUCCGGGUUGUAAAGUACUUUCAGCGAGGAGGCGUUACUCGCAGAAGAAGCACCGGCGAACUCCGUGCCAGCAGCCGCGGUAAUUC
rnacentral:rRNA from 1 species